rnacentral:rRNA from 1 species
UACGUAGGUGGCGAGCGUUAUCCGGAAUUACUGGGUGUAAAGGGAGCGCAGGCGGGGCGACAAGUCAGCUGUGAAAACUAUGGGCUUAACUCAUAGACUGCAGUUGAAACUGUUGCUCUUGAGUGGAGUAGAGGCAAGCGGAAUUCCGAGUGUAGCGGUGAAAUGCGUAGAUAUUCGGAGGAACACCAGUGGCGAAGGCGGCUUGCUGGGCUCUAACUGACGCUGAGGCUCGAAAGCGUGGGGAUCAAACAGGAUUAGA